CAAAAAGUGCUGGAUGAGGCCAACCACUCCUCGCUCGCUCACCGACGAAACGUUUUGGCUCGCUCACCUCCCUGUACGGUUGCCGGCCUCGCGAGCCACGGGCAGGGGCGAAGCUCGCCGUGCGCGCGGGCAAGGUCGCCGGCCGCUCGCCACGCCGUUGGAGCCGGCCGCCCCGCGCCACUGCAGCUCGGCCCACGUCGCGCCCUCGCCGCUGCGCUCGCCACGCCGUUGGAGCCGGCCGCCCCGCGCUGCAGCUCCGCCAGGGCCGUGCGCUGUAGCUCCGCGGGGCGCGCUGGCGUGCGGCUGACGAGCUGAGCAAAGUGAUCCAUGUGCGGCGGCCGGUAGCUGAACUAGAGCGAGACGAUAGCUGAACCGGUAGCAAACUUGACUAGCUAACAUGUAAGGGACUAGCUAGCUUUCUCCUCCAUCUCUUGCCUUCAGCUAGCUUGUGUUGAUUUCCUCUUCUUUUCUUUUUUACUGUUAAAGAUUUUUAUCCAUCUACUGUAUUUAGUAAUAGAGAAUUUGGUGAAAUGGAUUAGAAUUUUUAUCCCCAAUUAAGCUUAUUCAUAAUUUAGAGGUAUUCUCACCUUCCCAAUUGAAAAGGUAACUACAUCAGCUCGUCCAGUCUUCAUCCUCUGAACCAAACACAAAAUAGGCUAUCCCUAACCACCUUGUAACCUUUGUAACCAAACAGAAAAAAUGGCUACCACUAACCACAUGGUUAGGGAUAUCCUCAUCCCCUGAAUCAUAUCCCCUAAACCAAACAGCCCCUAAGGAAAAAAUCUGCCUAGUUGGGCCCGAUGUAUGAUACCCACUGCCUAUCCACCACGUCAGUAACUCGGCAAGGUUCGUGAUAAUGGUGGAGACAUGCGCGGCAACAUCUUAAGGGCGCGAUGCAAAUCUUGGCGGGUCGCCGCACGCACGAGCUCUCUUUAUCAUUCAUUCUCCAACAAUUAAUUGAUUCUCAAAUAUUUUUGAAGGAGAUCAAGAUGCAGAUAAGCAAUAUCAAUGAAUAGAUAGGCAAGAAUUGAUUUUUCUCCAAGAUUUGACAAUACAAUAGUAAUGCAAAAGAAUUAAGGAGACAACUCCAUUUUAGGCAAGACUUAAUUUCCCAAGAUUUUCCUUUUUCGUCUUUUUAAGGCAGGACCAAAUAUAUAGGCAAGAAUUAAUUGCCCAACAUUUUGUUGUCUCAGUUUUUAGGUGUAACCAAAUAGGCGAGACUUAAUUUCCAAAGAUUUUCAUUUGCCUCUAUAUUUAUGCGGAACCAAAUUAAUACCAAAUAAUGCAAGGCUUAAUUCUGCAAGAUUUUCUUUUUUCCUCUAUAUAAAUCUGAGCAAAAGGAAAAACAUUAUAGUAGCAAAAACUAAACAACAAGGACUAGCUAGUCUCUUCUCAUGGCUCUUAUGAUCCACACCACAAGGAAUCUAAGCAUAGCAAUUACGUUGGUCAUUUUUACGACGAUGGCAUGCCACAUAAAUACUGAGGCUUUUAAUCAGGCAACUUGUUACGAGAUGCCAAAAUGUGAGAUCGAGGAAUGUCGAGCGUACUGCAAGAACAAAGGUUACAACAUUAAAAUCAGCCAAUGUGACGAAAUACAUGCAACUCACUAUUGUUGUUGCGACGAUUAAACCAUAUAUGUAUCAUCUGAUGGAGCUAAUAAAUGAAUAAACUAUACUUUUGGUUCU